UCAGAGCGAAUCGACGGGAGCUUGCUCCCUGAGAUUAGCGGCGGACGGGUGAGUAACACGUGGGCAACCUGCCUAUAAGACUGGGAUAACUUCGGGAAACCGGAGCUAAUACCGGAUACGUUCUUUUCUCGCAUGAGAGAAGAUGGAAAGACGGUUUACGCUGUCACUUAUAGAUGGGCCCGCGGCGCAUUAGCUAGUUGGUGAGGUAAUGGCUCACCAAGGCGACGAUGCGUAGCCGACCUGAGAGGGUGAUCGGCCACACUGGGACUGAGACACGGCCCAGACUCCUACGGGAGGCAGCAGUAGGGAAUCUUCCGCAAUGGACGAAAGUCUGACGGAGCAACGCCGCGUGAACGAAGAAGGCCUUCGGGUCGUAAAGUUCUGUUGUUAGGGAAGAACAAGUACCAGAGUAACUGCUGGUACCUUGACGGUAC
rnacentral:rRNA from 1 species